rnacentral:tRNA from 1 species
UACAUACUGGUGUAGAGUGCACGGAAAUUUUUGAUAUUUCUGGGAUUGGUGUAAAUCCAUUGUGUGUAA